AGUGGAAUAACUGGGCCAAAUGGUGGACCCAUUCCAAGUUUUCUGAGGAAUCUUCAUGCUGCUUUCCAGAGUGGUUGCACCAAUUUGACAUCCCACCAGCAAU
rnacentral:pre_miRNA from 1 species